AUAAUACUAUAUUUGUUCCACGUCCUCGCGUUGUUGUGUUUUUUGUGCUUUCAUGUUUGGAUUAACUAUAUAUAUAUAUAUAUAUAUAUGCUUUCAUAGCGAGAGUGCUGGUCACCAUACGUUUCCAAUUCUUUCUUAAUUGUGACCUUCUUUCCAUUUUGCCCCUUGUCUUCUUACCCAAAUCAUCCCUCUUUCGUCACGAAGGUCUUUUGAGUGGCCUUUUCCGAUUUAUUAUUCACCUCUUAACAACUGCGCAGGUUACAUCUGUUCUCUGUGAAUCUUGCGAUGUGUUAUGCUCAGCAGAACUUGCGCUUUCUGUAUUCUACGUUCUCGUCGUUCACAUUGCUCUGAUCUCGAAUUGCUUCUUUUGGGGUAUAUUCCUGAAAUGACAUAGCUGACAUCGAUCGUUUUAUGGCCCUUUGCGCUUUUGUCAAUCGAUAUCCUUCCCUCCUCGUAGAAACUCAUGUCUGACUUGCUUAUAGAAUUGUAGCUAUGGUGGUGACAUUGAAGAGACUGGCACGUGUUGUCUUGUCCGACUGUGCCUUCAGCAUAUCUUUUAAAAUAAUAAACAUCUUCCAUCAUGCCUUUAUUUUCCUCGAGAAAUCAGCGUCAAUGCCUUCGCGUGUAAGUACUGUGUACCCUAAGUAGACAUACUUUUUAUUAGUUCCUAACUAUUUAUAUAUGACUAAGGCGAAGAAGCCGAAACUUCAAAGUUGCUGCCAAAUAUAUCUACGAGUUAGUACUUACUCUCGUAAGUAGUAUUGGGUUUAAUGUUAAAUUGUUUGCAUAUAGGCGUAGGAGUGGCUGUGUGGUAAGUAAAUUGCUUACGAACCACAUGGUUCCAGGUUCAGUCACACUGCUUAGCACCUUGGAGAAGUGUCUUCUACUAUAGCCUCGGACUGACCAAAGCCUUGUGAGUGGAUUUGGUGGACGGAUACUGAAAGAAGCCCGUCGUAUAUAUGCAUAUAUAUAUAUAUGUAUGUAUGUGUGUGUGUAUAUGUUUGUGUGUCUGUGUUUGUCCCUCCAACAUCGCUUGUCAGCCGAUGCUGGUGCGUUUACGUCCCCGUAACUUAGCAGUUCGGAAAAAGAGACCGAUAGAAUAAGUACUAGGCUUACAAAGAAUACGUCCUGGGGUCGAUUUGCUCGACUAAAAGCGGUGGUCCAGUAUGGCCACAGUCAAAUGGCUGAAACAAGUAAAAGAGUAAAAGAGUAUAUAACUUGACAUAAAGACAAACUCUAAUAUAUAUAUAUAUAUAUAGAGAGAGAGAGAGAGAUAUGGCAAAUGAAAGACGGAAGAUGCAAUACAUAUAUAAAUAUAUAUGUAUCCUUCUCCUCUCACACACACGCACACACAUAUGAGAAGAAGGGAAGAUAAAGAUGAAAGUGAAAAAAGAGAGAGUAGGAAGAGUGAAAGAGAGACAGAGAGACAGAGAUACAGACUGUCUGACAGAGAGGAAGGAUUGAGUUUAAAAAGAGAAGGAUUGAUUUUGGAAAAGUAAUGUCGUUAUUUCGAUAAAAACUGGUCUUUAGCAAAAUGAGAAAGUUAAGGGUCAUAGAUAGGGCAGAUAACUAAAAUUAAAGUUUAUGUCGUUAAGAAUUUCUACUUUUAAGAACGUGCAUUUAAAUUUCGAGAGCGUAAGGCAAAUUAAGUCUACUUUUGCCCAUAAGUAAUCUAUUUGCGUUCAGCCUUUAUCUAAAUAUAGAAUUUAACAGCCAUAUUUGCAAAUAUUACUCCUCCUUUUCCAAACACACUCCGUUCAUUCUCUCUUCUUUUAUUUUCUUUCUUCUCUACUGUUCCAUAUGCAAAUGAGCAUUUAUCUGAUAAAUUUCUUCCCUAAUGUUCUUAAUAUUGGAGAAAUAAAAUAAAUUUAUAAACUCUGUAUAUAUAUAUUCAAUAGAGUGUGUAUAUGGUGCCUAAAUACGUAUGGGUGUGUUAGAUUUUUGUGUGAGUAGAUGAAUUUAUAAAAUGUGUUUUAUUUAACAAUAAAUAUAUUGUAUAAUUCUUUUAUUUGCUUCAGGUAUUUGAAUGCGGCCAUGAUGGAGCACUGUGUUGAAGUUGAGACUGAGUUGAGACUGAGUCUCAAAGUCAUGGUCGUCACUACAGAGCCUACGUAGACGGAGGAAUUGGGAAUAGAUUGGAAUGUUUGGAGAUGAUGUACAGGUAUUUUAUAUUAGAUGAAAUGAGGUUCCAUUUGAAAACCCCACUAGAAUGGGAGAAUGUGCUAAUACAUGAUCUAAGUUAUAUGAUGUAUAAAAACAUGAAAUAUACUAAUAAAUAUCUGUAAAUAUAAAACCAUCCGAAUUUCUGAGUACCUCAUUUCUUCUAAUAUAUACGGAUUUUUUUCCUCUCCUUGUUUCUCUCCUUGUUUUUUUC
rnacentral:lncRNA from 1 species